rnacentral:rRNA from 1 species
UACGUAGGUGGCGAGCGUUGUCCGGAAUUACUGGGCGUAAAGAGCGCGCAGGCGGCUGGUCAAGUCCGACGUGAAAUCUCCCGGCUUAACUGGGAAAUUGCAUCGGAAACUGAUCGGCUUGAAGGUGGGAGAGGGUAGCGGAAUUCCCGGUGUAGUGGUGAAAUGCGUAGAUAUCGUAAGGAAGACCAGUGGCGAAGGCGGGUCUCUGGACAGUUCCUGACGCUGAGGCACGAAGGUCAGGGGAGCAAACGGG